CGUUUUAUCGCGUGUGUCCGAUAGCGUUUGAUAUUGAUUGAUAUUAUGAUCACGUGGUUUCCGAGGUUUAUCGCGCUUAUCGCGACUAUUUCCGAAAACAAUAAUUGAUACGGUGAUGGGGGGGGGGUCGAGACGUUGUGUUGCGGCUGCAGAAUGAUGGUCAUGAAAGUGUUCCGAAUUAUCAAUAUAUUUUGUAAUAAUACAUCCGUCGCGCGUCGUCACAAUGAGAUAAUAUUAUGAUUUGCCGUCGUUCAGUAUUGCUCGUCCACAAUUGGGUUUCAAAAGUUAAACCCUAUGGCAUUGCCUCUAAAAUAUCGUUCUCCGUAAAUUUCACGAUAGGCGCUUUCACUCUAAAAUCAAAAUUUAGCCGGUUUUACUUAUUCUGCGUAAGCAUUGUUUUUGCAUGUUACGCGGUUGUUGAACUGAGACAGUAGUUGCGGGUAUAAUGUCUUAUUAAUAUUUAUUAUUUCAACACUAGUAUUAAGGUGGGCGGUACGGGUGCUUUUUAUUUGGUAAAUUUUAAUAUCGCUAAAUACCUAAUCUAUCGUGUCUGUAUAAUCCAUUACACACGAUGCAGGUUUUGUUACACUCGUAAAAAAAUAUUAUUACCCGGUAUAUGAUUUAAGUAUUUAAAGUACCUAUAGUAUUAUUUACAAUUAACUUUUUCUUUUAUUUUUUAGAUAUGACGAUAAUUUUGAAAUACAUCCAGACUAAAAUGUACGAACAAAAAUUAUAUAUUUUUUGCUCGUGGGUACACAGUCGGGAGGUGAUAACGGACUAGUAAGUUUUAUAAUAUAAUACUAAUAUGUCUUAGUAAACUAAAACGCUGAUAAGAACCGUUAAAUGUGUGUGUGUGUGUGUGUGUGUGUAUAUAUAUAAGAAAAAAAAUCAUCUAAUUUGUUUCACGAAUAAGUUGUUACACGCGAGAUCUAAUUUCCCAACAUAACAUACAGAACAUAGCAAAACCGCAGAAUCGCAUUUGUAUAUUAAUCAAACAGAUUUGCGAUAAAAACUAACAGGUUGUUAAACAACCGUUGUUUAGUAUGGGUUUUCCAUAUAAUAACGGAUGAAAUCAUUUUCAAACUUUUACUAAGUAAUUUGUUUACGUAAAUAAAAUUGCCGGAUCGGUAUUGCGCGAGAAUACGGUAGAAAAAUGAUUUUGAUGUUUACACACGAAGUACCUGUUAUACACGUCUAUCAGAUAACGGCAAAUCCGAGAUGGAUUUUAUAUAUUACCGGGUGUAUUACCCUGUAUACAGUCCGCGGGCCACACAUGCGG